rnacentral:rRNA from 1 species
AACAAACGCUGGCGGCGUGCUUAACACAUGCAAGUCGCACGAGAAAUCUUGAGCAAUCGAGAGAGUAAAGUGGCGCACGGGUGAGUAUCGCGUGGGUAAUCUACCCUUGGAUUCAGGAUAACACUUCGAAAGGGGUGCUAAUACUGGAUAACAUCCUGAUGGUUUAGGCCAUAAGGAUCAAAGAUAGCCUCUACAUGUAAGCUAUUGUUCAGGGAUGAGCCCGCGUACCAUUAGCUAGUUGGUGGGGUAAGAGCCUACCAAGGCAACGAUGGUUAGCUGGUCUGAGAGGAUGAUCAGCCACACUGGAACUGAAACACGGUCCAGACACCUACGGGAGGCAG